rnacentral:rRNA from 1 species
UACGAAGGGGGCUAGCGUUGCUCGGAAUCACUGGCGUAAAGCGCACGAGGCGGAUCUUUAAGUCAGGGGUGAAAUCCCAAGGCUCAACCUUGGAACUGCCUUUGAUACUGGGGAUCUCGAGUCCGGAAGAGGUUGGUGGAACUGCGAGUGUAGAGGUGAAAUUCGUAGAUAUUCGCAAGAACACCAGUGGCGAAGGCGGCCAACUGGUCCGGUACUG